CAAAUGCUAUAAGAUACUCUCCAAUAUGUUCUUGAUAUCGCUACAUGUGUUCUUUUUAGAUCCUUUUAAAAAUGAUUCUGUAAGAUAAUUAUUCUAAGAUUGAGGGGGAUCCAUAUAUAUUAUAGAGUUAACAGCUUUUCUUAAUGGAAAAAUGUAUUGUCUUUAACAAGGACAUUCAGAGCUAGAUGUUAACAUUUAGAAGCUACCAUUUGGUACUUUACUAGCAAGAUACAUUCCACUGCAGAGAUUCAGUGAAGACUCCUAGAAUUGGAAAAUCUUCAGCCGUACAUGCAGUCUUUUUCCUCAAGGGAUUCCUCUUCUUUAGGCCUUUUAAAAUAGUGCUGCAUACUUUCAUUCAAUUUCUAUUAAUUAUUAUGAUUUAUUAUGAUUUUUAUUAUUCAGUGCCAUAUUGACUUUUGACUUUUUUUCUUCUUAUAUUUAUAAAUAUUGAGAAACUUCUGUGUCUCAGAGUUAUACUUCUGUGUAACAGAGUUAAACUUCUGUGUCUCAGAGUUACAACUUUAAUUAACACAUAUAUACCAAUAAUUAUGAUAACAUGUACCAUCCUUUUUGCUUAGUCUAGACCAAUGCUUCUCUAAAUGAAACACCUUCAGCAUCAACAUCAACUGAGGAUUUAUAAAAACUCCAGAUUUUGAAGCCACACUCUAGAUCUACUGAAUCAGAAACCUUGAGGGUGGAGCCUGGUAAUCUGAGUCUUAACAAUCUUCCAAGAUAAAUGAUCUUGACACAUGCUAAAAUUUGAGAACCACUAGUCUUUACUAAAUGUUAAGAUUGGCUUGAUCACAGUCUAUAAGGAAUGAUAAUUUCAAAGUGGAUAUUUUAUAAUUCAACAGUCAAUUGACUCUUGAGGCUCUGGAAUACUUUCAUUUCAGUGAAGAAAUUAUUUUUCUAUCUCUGUUACUUUUGCUGCACCAAUAAUGAUUGUGUCAAUAAAAUCAUUUGAUAUUAACCACUAUGUUUCCUUUGGCACAGAAAGGGUGUUAAAUUAACUAUCAUCAAGCUUGCUUUAAAUAAUCUAAAAAAUUUUGGUGGCAAAAUACCUUCUAUAUUCAGUGGCAUUCAUAUCUAACAUUUAAGUACAAAAUGAUAAUGUCAAAAUAGAUCAUACAUUAAUCAAAUAUUUUUAUGACCGAGCUAAGCAUUGAGCUUCAUUUUGUGGAUGAUAAAUGGUUAGAUAAAUUUAAUAAUUCAAUAAUUAAGUCCCUGCUAUAAGAACAUCUGUAUGCAAGAAACUGGAAAGUUGAAGAGCACAGAAUCAUUGGUGUCCUUAAGAACUUAGAAUAUAAUAACAGAUAGGAAAUAUACAUGCCAAGUUCUAUAAUGUAGGGCAGGAUAUGAUAAAUUCAAUAUGGGACAUAUAUAAACUAUGUUAAUUCAAAAGAAACCUCUGAUCAUAACCUUCUUUGCUUUAUGGCAAAGAAAACAUUUAAUCUGAGGUUACUAAGCCUAAAGAAUGAAUUAUAUUUUUAGAUGUAUAACAGAGUGGAAAAGGGUUUUCAGGAAGAGAAAAAGGGCAUAAGCAAAGGAAGAGAGAGAACAAAGCCUAGCAUCUUGUAUUUGGAGACUAUCAAGGAAUGAGGUUGACUAGAAAUAGAAACGUAUGCUUUUAAAUUGUUGGAUAUGUACUUUAAAACAUGUUCUGAGGCAUCAGAUAAUAUGAAAGAAUGCAGUAGAAAUGUUUGAACUAUUGAGAGUUUUGAGAGGGAAAGUAAGGCAAUUAAACACAUACACGCACACGCAGAAUGGAUUGGAAGAGUUAGAAGCUUGGGGAAGAAUGGAUUAUUGGAAACUAUAUAUAAUCCUGAUCUGAGGAGGAAGACAGUAGACUCUGAACAAGAGAAUGAAGAGGGCUGGGUAGAAGAAAUUGAAGACAGCAUAGCUGAGGGUUGUUAAGUUAGGCUCCAAAAGUUAGGGCAAAUAUUCAUAGUAUUGAAAAAAUAAUGACAGACAAGUGUUUGUAUUAAGUGAUAGAAGGACAAUGUUCAGGGUAGAAGAGAUGAUGCAUUUAUCUGGGGACAUGCUGAUGUGACUUGUUGAAGGGAUUAGCAGUUCUGGGGCAGUGAAACUGGAGCUUGGGAAAAUGGUUGAAACUAAAGGAGGACAUAAGGGAACCAGGGAACCUCUUUGGGGUCCAUUAAUGCUCUGUGUUCAAAGAUGGAAUCUCUUUCCAGGUGGGCUUUUAGUAAUUAAUCUAUUCUUUUAUACAUCAACUAUUUGUUAAGUUUCCACUAUAUACUAGCUACUAUCCUAGGUACCACUGAUACAGCAGUGAAAGAACAUUACAUCCUGCCUGCAUGGUGCUUAAAUUCUAGAUGCUUAGUUUUCAAACAACAGGAAAUUAGAAGAAUGCGUAUAGACCUUAUUUUUGUUAAAGGUAAAACAUUUGAUUUGUCCCUGAGACCACUUAACUAGUGCUACACAUUUAAUGACCCAUGAUAUCACUAAUAUCACCUUUGAAAUACUGAUUCCAAUUAUAGUCUUCUUGAAUAAGUAUUUAAAAGUAGUCCAUCUAUUAGUUUUUCUACUAUAUAAAUUCCCAGACUGAAUAUGACAUAAUCUGAAAAGUUAUCACAAGGUUUUCCAAUGUUCUUUCACAUUUAUGACAGAACUAAUCAUGUCUAUAUACUGAACUACAGAUUUUAUGGGUAGCAGAAUUCGUUUUGGCAAGUAAAAUAUAAUAAGAAAAAAAUCUGUCCAUUUCUUGGUAAACUAUUGCUCAUAACUUGGCUUUCUUGAGCAAAAAUGUUCAUAUUUUAUUUAACUUGAUUUUUUAAAAAAGAAAUGAAACCAAAAAGGAAAAGAGACAGAGAUCUCAAGCUGUUGGGCUUUGAAAUUUUGGCAGAGAAUUAUUUUCUCUGAAAAAAUUUGUUGGCUGAGAAUUCAAAACAUCCGCCUCUUUAGCCCAAUUCAGACAUCCGUAAUCCUGCCUCAGAGGACACGAAACAGUGCAGGACCCAUCUUAUCCUACUGGGAAAAUCGUUUGAAAUGCUGGCAUGCAAGCAGGGAGAAUUCUGUUGACCCCUGUGUAUAUCCAAACCAUUCACUUUCAUUCUUAGACCUCAAUCACUAUCAUUUCUAUGGAACCAACAGAAUUUGUGGCAUUGAUAUGUAAAUGAAUGCACCAACAGUAGCCACAGUAUUCAUUUUCCAUGUGCUUUGCAAGCCAGAAUUCUGAAAGGCUUUCAGCAAUUUAAUACGCAACACCUUCAGUGAAUUUGACUAAAAUCAGUCAACCAGCUUCACAUACCCUAGGGUAGUCUGUAGAGACCUUGACAUAUUCCUAAGGAUUGUUUUCUUUUAAGUUUGUUAAAUGCCACUGAGGGUUUUUUUUAUGGAUAAAAUGAUAGUGAGGCUGAAUGGAAUGUUUAAAAUCUUUGUUUCCAUUUAUGCUCUUUCAAAUAUCAUAAAAUGUAUGGCAUAGCUGACAUUUGAGUUGUAAGAUCAAAUGGAAAAGGCUGGCCCUGUUUUAUGUGAGCUGAAUUUCUUCCUUAGCAGAGCAAUUAAAUUCUCUCUCUAAUACAGACUUCUUGGCUUGUUGUACUCUUCUGAAAGUAAUGAAAAUUGAAAUGAAAUACAGAUUAUGAUAAUGGAACUAAAAAGGAGGGGAAACAGAAGGAAUUUACUCCUCUGUUUUUCCUAUUUUCCUUCUCCUAAUUCUUAAGGUAAUUACAAGACUCUGGAGAUGUGAACAUCUUUAUUAUCUAUGCAAAACGCCAUCUGCUGGAAGCAUAUUUUGCAAACCUGCAGGGCCUGAAUAUGAGACAAACAGAUUUAGUAAAAGUGAUGCUUUGUUGUAUUGUUCCUUUACUCAAGUGCCAGACUUUUCUUUGGUGUCCUGGGGUCUCUAAGAAACCAAAAGGGAAAUGGGAACCAUCCAGAAAGAUAUUUGAUUUUAUCCAGCCCCCACUGUCAUAUUUCUCUUUUUGCUAUUGCUCUACAGCAGAGUAUUAUUUCUGGAUUAGUGGAUCCAGAUAUCUCAUUAAGAACAUUUCUACUAAUAAUUUGCAAAUCAGAACAAAUUGAAUAGCUAUGAAUGGCUAACCAAAGGUCUCUCAUUCAAUAAGGAUUCAUUAAGCACUUACUGUUUAUUAGGCAGUUUGCCUAAAUGCUGAAGAUACAAAGAGGAAAAACACAUAGUCACACACAUGCAUGCAUGAAUGUCCACAUCUGCAUUUGUCCCCAUCCAAAUGUCCAACAGUUCUACUCUCCAAGAACUCACUACCUAGCUUAGGAGAGUAUAUAAUUCCCUGAAAUGUAUAAGAGUAAUAACUAGAUUCCUUUUCUACUUGAUUUGUUUAAAUAAUUGGAUUUUUCUUUUUCUACAUUACUCAAGCUCCAUUUAAUUACACCUUCCUAUGAACUUUUCCAUUUCUUUUCUUUCUUCUCUGAGUGUUCCCUCACAGGCUCUCUGUAUUCUAUCUACUUGCUAUCAAUCUUGCUUCCUUCUCCCUUUCUCUUUGUUAUCCCUUCUUACCUCAGCUUUAUGUUUGUUCUUUUUCAUCAUACAUGAAGCUGUUCAUUUGUGUCACUCUUGUUUUAGGAAAUCCAAACUUCAGUUUGGAGUCAACUAUUCUUUUGGUUUGUAAUUUAUCUACAUCAGGGACUCUGGAACUUAUCAGCUUUAGCUUUUGAAGUUUCUCUGUCUUGGGUAGUGUUCUCCAUCUUCAAAGGUCAUUUCAUAAGUAUAUGACCAGUAGUCCCAAUGCCUCCUCAUAAUCAUCCUACAGAAGCAAAAGAACCUCAAGCAGAUAAGAUCUCUUGACGAUCUACCAAGAAACAUGACAGCCUAGAUUUAUUGUCAUAAAUACUAAAGUAAGUCUUAAUACUAGAAUAGUUGCAGGCUACAUGAUACCCUUCCACACUAACCCUAAUAAAUUCAAAUGAGAGAAAAUUGAAUGCUUCUGUUACAUUUUGAUACACCUAAUUAACAUAGUUUUAUAUCAUAUUAUUUACCUUAAAACAAAAACUAACAGGAACCUUUAAAGAACAACCAAAACACUUAAUUUUGAUUUCAAAAAUUACUGCAGUGUCUUGGCUUGCUCCAGAGGCACAAGUUCAAUCCCUGGCCCAUUACGUUGCUGCAGCUACAGUGUAGAUUGCAGCUUUGGCUCAGGUUCAAUAUGUGGCUCAGGAACUUCCAUGUGCCGGCUGGUGAAGG
rnacentral:lncRNA from 1 species